rnacentral:tRNA from 1 species
GGGUAUAGCCAAGCGGUAAGGCAACAGACUUUGACUCUGUCAUUCGUAGGUUCGAGUCCUGCUACC